AAUCAGGUCACCUGUCGCGACUCGCGCUCUGUUUGCAGUGAUCAAUCUAUCCGUUGCUGCGUCGCGUUAUUUUCUUCAAAAAAACGAAACAUCUCCCGAACCGUUUAUCACUAAUGUCUCAAUAUACGGUGAACCGCGAGGUCACACACACUUUUCGAAGUAAAACGAACCACAAGAUCUGGAGCAGUUGUGAACCCCGAGGUCACGAACACUUUUCGAAGUAAAACGGACCGCAAGAUCUGGAGCAGCUGUCAAGAAGAAUAAACAGAUUCUGUGAGUAUCCCAAUUGAACCAUGAAGAAGAAACUCCGAACUGUAAGUCCAGAUCUUUCCUUUUUGGGGCAUCAUUUUGGCCCCCUGUUUGGUCUGGUUGGUCAGGGUCGAUGGGUGAAGAUUGAUAUAGUUAAAACUUAAAGUAGUGCAGUAUAGGUUCUAAGUGAAUGGUGUACGACUAGUUGGAUCUCUAUGGGUAGAGCUAUAACAUACUCCAGGGUUGUGUUCAGACUUUCUUCUGCCCACUUCGCCACUACUUCCCUGAACCUUGCAUCACUUUACGUGUGUGUUGUCUUACUGAUGGGGGUCUGGUCUGAGCGAUCAGAGAUGCAUGCUAGGGUACUGUGCUGUCUGAAGUCUACAGUUCUGUAGACGUGCCCUCUCAGGGGAAACCAAGUGUUUAAGAGGCCGUCGUAACGUCGGUUACGUGAAGGGGAAAGUCUAUCAAGAUGGUGACGGGACUCCCCGGAGGAGAAACGCAUGGGGCAAGAUGUGAGGGCUCCUCCUCUCAGCAACUAGAACACAGCCUGGUUCCUGCACCGGAGAACCAUGGAGCACAUUUCAACGUUCUCCUCCAUACAUCUUGAAGCCGUAGCGACGGUUUCUCUACCUCCACAGCUGGAGGAGAGCACAAUCGCAGCUCAGAAUGGGUCCAUGUUGGGGUCUUUCCAGGUUGGUUUCUGAUAUGAGGGGACCAUCUUCCAGGCCCAGCUGGCCUCGCCCAUUACUCUGCAGUACAGCCCUGAGAAAGACUUGCAUCUGAGCCAGCAGAGGGCUCAUCGGCCUGCUGCUCAGAUGGGAUGAAGAGGAUCCUGCUGUUCAAGACCCACCACCCCUCCACUGGGUGGGCCUUCUCAACAGACCACCUACCUCACCCCUUCCAUCAAAUCCUGGCCCCGUCCUCGGGCUCAUUAAGCGGCA
ensembl:lncRNA